rnacentral:rRNA from 1 species
UACGUAGGGUGCAAGCGUUGUCCGGAAUUAUUGGGCGUAAAGAGCUCGUAGGCGGUCUGUCACGUCGGCUGUGAAAACCUGGGGCUCAACUCCGGGCCUGCAGCCGAUACGGGCAGACUAGAGUUCGGCAGGGGAGACUGGAAUUCCUGGUGUAGCGGUGAAAUGCGCAGAUAUCAGGAGGAACACCGGUGGCGAAGGCGGGUCUCUGGGCCGAAACUGACGCUGAGGCGCGAAAGCUAGGGGAGCAAACAGG